AACGAACGCUGGCGGCAUGCCUAACACAUGCAAGUCGAACGAGACCUUCGGGUCUAGUGGCGCACGGGUGCGUAACGCGUGGGAACCUGCCCUUAGGUUCGGAAUAACUCCCCGAAAGGGGUGCUAAUACCGGAUAAUGUCUUCGGACCAAAGAUUUAUCGCCUUUGGAUGGGCCCGCGUUGGAUUAGCUAGUUGGUAGGGUAAAAGCCUACCAAGGCGACGAUCCAUAGCUGGUCUGAGAGGAUGAUCAGCCACACUGGGACUGAGACACGGCCCAGACCCCUAGGGAGGGAAGCAGUGGGGAAUUUGGGAAAAGGGGCGAAAGCCUAAUCCAGCAAGGCCGGGUGGGUGAUGAAGGCCUUAGGUUUGUAAAGCUUUUUUACCCGGGAUGAAAAGAGCAGGACCGGGAGAAUAAGCCCCGGCAAACUCCGG
rnacentral:rRNA from 1 species